rnacentral:rRNA from 1 species
AGUUGGUGGGGUAAUGGCCUACCAAGCCGAAGACGAGUAACCGGUGUGAGAGCACGAUCGGUCAGAGGGGGACUGAGACACGGCCCCCACUCCUACGGGAGGCAGCAGCAGGGAAUCUUGCGCAAUGGGCGAAAGCCUGACGCAGCGACACCGCGUGGAGGAUGAAUGUCUUAGGAUUGUAAACUCCUUUUAUCAAGGAAGAGAACGGACGGUACUUGAUGAAUAAGGUUCGGCUAACUACGUGCCAGCAGCCGCGGUAAUACGUAGGAACCGAGCGUUGUCCGAAUUUACUGGGCGUAAAGAGCGCGUAGGCGGUUUAUUAAGUCUCAUGUGUAAUCUCCCGGCUCAACUGGGAGGGGUCAUGGGAUACUGGUAGACUUGAAGAUAGCAGAGGAAAGCGGAAUUCCCGGAGUAGUGGUGAAAUGCGUAGAUACCGGGAGGAACACCAGAAGCGAAGGCGGCUUUCUGGGCUAUUCUUGACGCUGAGGCGCGAAAGCGUGGGGAGCGAACCGGAUUAGAUACCCGGGUAGUCCACGCCCUAAACGAUGGAUACUAGAUGUUGGAGGUAUAGACCCCUUCAGUGUCGAAGUUAACGCGAUAAGUAUCCCGCCUGGGGAGUACGGCCGCAAGGCUAAAACUCAAAGGAAUUGACGGGGACCCGCACAAGCAGCGGAGCGCGUGGUUUAAUUCGAUGCAAAGCGAAAAACCUUACCUAGGCUUGACAUGUUUCUGAAAGCCCCCGAAACGGGGCCCUCCUUCGGGACAGAAUCACAGAUGUUGCAUGGCUGUCGUCAGCUCGUGUCGUGAGAUGUUGGGUUAAGUCCCGCAACGAGCGCAACCCCUGUCGUUAGUUACUAUGUCUAACGAGACUGCCCCCAUUGGGGAGAGGAAGGUGGGGACGAGGUCAA